CUCCUCUUGUGAACUUUUCUCCAACAUCAAGUGAAGCAGUUUUCUGCUCUACCUGGAGAUGGAAGUUGGUAGAAUGUUGGCAGGCCUCUAAUCCCAUAGUUAUGGAGAACGCCAGUUGAACUGCCUUUCUAGGCUGCCAGACUCCUCCCAAGCCACAUCAUCUGGAGUAGUGACCUGAGAAGGCUACAGGUGCAGGUUAGGCAGAGGAAUACUUUGCCCCAGAAUUCAAGAAUUCACUAGCAACUGCUGCAGGUAUUCUGGAGUGUUCUAGAAGAGCUGCACAUACAGGAUAACCACAAAGGGGACAGAGUUUUCCAGAGAAACUGAACCAACAGGAAGUGUGUGUAUGUACAAACAAGGAGAGAGAGAGCACUUUGUUUGAAAGAAUUGGCUCACAUAAUUGUGGGAUCUGGAAAGUCUGUAAUCUGCAAGGCAACCAGCAGGCUGGAGACCCACAGAAGAGUUGACAUUGAAUCUUCCAGUGUGAAAGUCUUUUGGAGGACGAAUUCCUUCUCAAGAGACCUUAGCCUUUUCUCUCACACCUUCAGCCGCCUGGAUGAGGCCCAUCCACAUUAUUGUCCAUUAUGUGCCAGAUGCUGUGUUUGGUCCAAGAAUAGGAAGUCAACGUCACAGACCCUUCUUUCAAAAAGCUCACGUCUAGGGAGAGUAUGACUGAAGAAAAAGAGAAUGACUGAAAGCUAUGUAUAAAAGGGGGAAUUUGAAAAACCACAGCAACAACCUAUAGCAUAGAUCAUGGGACAUAGCUCGCAAUAAUUCCCCCAUAUUUGCCACAAAAGGGCUUCAUUUCCUAAAGAAGCAAACGGUUGUAGAUGAGCCUCCAGGUGCUACAAGAGAGCAGUAGCUGGAAAGAACAUGAGAGUUUUUGCCUACGCAUAGGCAAAGAUGGUUCCGGCUACCCAUCUCGGACCUUCUCAGACCAAGCAGAGCUGUAGCCUCUGGGCUUGUCUUACCUUGUAAUGCAUUUGGAAAGCACCAUAUUCUCAGGAAUAGAAAAGGGUAAGAGACAAAGAAGAUUCUCUCCAGAGCUGGAGAGACGAAGGAAGGAAGCAGCCAUCCUAUAGCAUACAUACGUUGUUGCUGAUUUGCUGACUUAUCUUCUUGGUGAGAAACAAGAGCUUGUCCUACAACUGCUCUCCCUUACCUCUGGAUCUUCUGGAUUCCUCUGACUUCUGAACGAGGUGUGUUAGGGUGCAUGGUCAGUGCCUCGAGGAGGGGCUCUGGCUUCUGCAAGAUAUUCAUUUUAAGGUCAGUGGCAAUAAGAAUGGACACAGGCCUCAGUCAAUCCUUGGGGAUUUCUAACUUUUCCUCAUUGGGUUCCAGUCUGCUGGUGAUCUUCUCUUCCCGGCCAUCUGCCCUGAGAACUUUGGGCUCUGACAUGAGAUGUGGAGACAGCCUUGCGGAGACUUCUUAGCCAGCUGCCAUAAUUAGGAUGCAUAUAUGAUAUGUGGGAACUGGCACUAGUCUGUGUCCUGUGUGAACAUCAGAUCUCUGGAAUCCUCUGCAUGUGCACUGAAGACCUCCACUAUGCCCUGAAGACCAGUUAUCUUGAUAUCCCUGGACUCAACAUAGUCUCUUCAACUCUGGGGGACUGGCAGUCUCCAUUGGUUUCUUCCUCACUGUGCAAUGGCCUGGAAGCUUUCUUCAAAUAGUAAAGUGGGGCAAUAGAAUCAAGCAGUGGUGGAUGGGGACCAUGAAAUCCAAACUAGUUGAAAUGUUUACACAUUGCUCGAACUCCAAAAUGCUGGUCAGUAGUUCUUUUCCUGCUAUGUCUUCACACCUUCAAAUUAGUCCAUUUUUUUCCUCCACGUUUCAUUGUCAAACAAGACUUUGUAGAAAAAUGUAAGUAAUAAACUUCUUUUCAUCAUAAAACGGCAGAGUUUUGUUAGAUAACUAAAGGAAGAAGGCAAUGUGUGUCUCUCACAGUGUUUAAUAGGGUAGGUUCCUUAGACAGAACUUUGAUAACUUGUGAUCUCAGGAAAAAGAGACAGGUAGGCAAAGCAAAUGAGAAUCAUGUUUGAAGGCUUUAAAAAAAAUCAGGAUCUUGGGUGUGAAAGACUUCAAUACCCAUAUCCAUGUUUCUCCUUCCCCUUGGCAUCUUGGCGCUGAUGACUGAAACUGGAUAUUCUUUUGUCCUUCCCUUUCUUUCUCGUUCUUAUUCUCCAUUUCUCUUCAUUUUCCAUUGUCUUCCUUCUCUGAAGCAAUAUACUAACCAUAACAUCUAUGCAUAUUAGUCAUUCAAUCAUUGUUCAGCAAAAUUUGCCAAUUCUUUUUGUUCAGAAGGCCCACAGCAUGCAGAAACAUGAAAAUAGUCAUUGGGAGUUGUCUUCCAACAGAAAUUAGAAAGUGAUUUAAUUAGCACCAAUAUAAUGGUGACCAGGGGUGAAUUUGAAACUAAAAUCUAGUCUCCUAAUUUCCCAUCUCAUGAUCUUGACAUUUUACCACACAUGUAUUAUGUUUCCUUAUUGGAGACUGAGAGAAACAGUGACUGAGGGAACUAAGAGUUUUGGAAUAAUAUCUCUAUCAUUCCUACCAAUUUGGAGCUAAUAUAUCAGAGAGCUAGAAGAUGGACUCAGGUGGAGAAUAAGAGAAAGUGGUUAAUUGCAGCUGGAGUGAUACCUUGAAAAUUUUAAACCUUAAUGCAUAUAUUAAAACAUAUAUCAAGAGAAUAAAGCAAGUGUCCAUACUCCCUAAUAUGAUAAUGAUUAGGAUUCAUUUUACACUCCAACAAGACCAGGUCCGUAGAAAAUGGAAAAUGAUAUGCCAAUCUCACUCACAAACAUGGUAGGAAAAUCCAUAAAUAAUGUUAGGAAACUGUGGUGAGCAUUUAAAAAUGGCCCACAAGAUUCUCCUCUUCUUUUAAUUUCUCCCCAUGAGUGUGUGCGCAUUCUGCAAAUAUGAUGAGCUACCAUUCCCAUGCUAUGUAACAACACAUGAUAACAGAAUUUUGCAGACAUAAAGUCCCUAAUCGAUUUAAUUUGAGUUAAUCAAAAGGCAGAUCAUCCCAGGUGGACCUGAUCUAAUCAGGUGAGGUCUUCCGUGAGUCUCCGGCUGUCUUGGGUAAGUAAGUCUCAAAGAACUAACAUUGGCUCCAGCCAACAGGUAGAGGAAAAGUGAGACAUCACUCUUAUAAUCACAGAGAAAUGAGUUCUGACAAUGCCCAAGGAGCUUGACAGAGAACCCCAAGCCCAAGCUGAGGUCAUAGCCCUAACACCUUGACUUCUGCCUGGUAAGACCCAGACCAGAGGGCUCAACUUAUAUCUGGACUGACCCAUAGAAAUGGAAAGUAUGAGAUAAUUAACAGUGUUGUUUAAAGCCAUUAUGUUCAUGGUCAUUUGUUACACAGUAUUAGGUAGUUAAU